rnacentral:rRNA from 1 species
UAUUGGCCAAUGGGCGGGAGCCUGAACCAGCCAAGUCGCGUGAGGGAAGACGGUCCUAUGGAUUGUAAACCUCUUUUGUCAGGGAGCAAUUCCCGCCACGGGUGGCGGGCGGGAGAGUACCUGAAGAAAAAGCAUCGGCUAACUCCGUGCCAGCAGCCGCGGUAAUACGGAGGAUGCGAGCGUUAUCCGGAUUUAUUGGGUUUAAAGGGUGCGUCGGCGGAGUGCCAAGUCAGCGGUAAAAAUUCGGGGCUCAACCCCGUCGUGCCGUUGAAACUGGCGCCCUUGAGUGGGCGAGAAGUAUGCGGAAUGCGUGGUGUAGCGGUGAAAUGCAUAGAUAUCACGCAGAACCCCGAUUGCGAAGGCAGCAUACCGGCGCCCUACUGACGCUGAAGCACGAAAGCGUGGGUAUCGAACAGG